rnacentral:rRNA from 1 species
GCUGGCGGCAGGCCUAACACAUGCAAGUCGAGCGGCCGUAGCAAUACGGCAGCGGCAGACGGGAGAGUAACACGUGGGAACGCGCCCUUCGGUCCGGGAUAACCCAGGGAAACUUGGGCUAAUACCGGAUACGCCCUUACGGGGAAAGAUUUAUUGCCGAAGGAACGGCCCGCGUCCGAUUAGCUAGUUGGUGAGGUAACGGCUCACCAAGGCGACGAUCGGUAGCUGGUCUGAGAGGAUGACCAGCCUCACUGGGACUGAGACACGGCCCAGACUCCUACGGGAGGCAGCAGUGGGGAAUAUUGGACAAUGGGCGCAAGCCUGAUCCAGCCAUGCCGCGUGGGUGAUGAAGGCCCUAGGGUUGUAAAGCCCUUUCAGCGGGGAAGAUAAUGACGGUACCCGCAGAAGAAGCCCCGGCUAACUUCGUGCCAGCAGCCGCGGUAAUACGAAGGGGGCUAGCGUUGCUCGGAAUUACUGGGCGUAAAGCGCACGU